rnacentral:rRNA from 1 species
CCUACGGGAGGCUGCAGUGGGGAAUAUUGGGCAAUGGACGAAAGUCUGACCCAGCAACGCCGCGUGAAGGAAGAAGGCUCUCGGGUUGUAAACUUCCUUUAAGGGGGAAGAGCAGAAGACGGUACCUCUUGAAUAAGACACGGCUAACUACGUGCCAGCAGCCGAGGUAAUACGUAGGUGGCAAGCGUUAUCCGGAUUUACUGGGUGUAAAGGGCGUGUAGGCGGGACUGCAAGUCAGAUGUGAAAACCACGGGCUCAACCUGUGGCCUGCAUUUGAAACUGGAGUUCUUGAGUACUGGAGAGGCAGGCGGAAUGCCUGGUGUAGCGGUGAAAUGCGUAGAUAUUAGGAGGAACACCAGUGGCGAAGGCGGUCUGCUGGACAGCAACUGACGCUGAGGCGCGAAAGCGUGGGGAGCAAACAGGAUUAGAUACCCUAGUAGUC